CACGGAUUAGGGAGUUUAUCUGUAGUGCGAGUCUUUGCACGUUAACUGUAAGGGCGUAGAGAAAGCAACUGGCGUUUGCAUGGCUACUGAGCAUUACUGAUAGGACCCGAAAGGUGGUGAACUUUGCCUGCACAGGUUGAAGUCAGGGGAAACUCUGAUGGAGGACCGUACGGGUUAUUGAUGUGCAAAUCAUUUUUCUGAUGUAGGUAAAGGUGCGAAAGACUCAUCGAACCACCUAAUAGCUGGUUUCCUCCGAAGUUUCCCUCAGGAUAGCUGUAAUGCAUUUAGUUAAGGGGAGUAGAGAUAUGGGUAGAGGUGCAGGGAGCCUUCGGGUUCUCAACUUAUUUCCAAACUUCGAACCUCCUUGUUAGGCAUUUACCUAACUGGAAAUGCUUAAAUGAAUUAGCGUUACAAGUGGGCUCUGACCGGUAAGCGGUCAUGGCGAAAUGGGAUGAACCAUACGUCUGAAUAAGGUGCCGAAAUGUACUAUCACUGAUACCAUAAAGGGAGUCCAUGUAUUUAGACAGCAGGUCGGUGCCCCUAAAAGCAGGUAUCCGCUAAAGAGUGUGUUAAAACUCACCUGCCGAAUACUAGGGCCCCGAAAAUGAAUGGCGCAUAUAGUACUACCGAUCUCAGACAUCAGUUCUAUUGAACUGAGAGUAGGGGGAUGUGGACAUUUUUGUGAAGGUGCAAUGUGAGUUGGACUGGAAGAAUGUCUAUUACAGAUCCUAAUUGAAGUAGCGAU
rnacentral:ncRNA from 1 species